rnacentral:SRP_RNA from 1 species
GCUGGGCAUGGUGGUGCAUGCCUGUGGUCCCAGCUACUUGGGAGGCUGAGGUGGGAGGAUCACUUGAGCCUGGGAGUUCAAGGCUUCAGUGAGCCAUGAUCAUGCCACUGCAUUCCAGCCUGGGUGACAAAGUGAGACCCUGUCUUUU